AUGAACGCUGGCGGCGUGCCUAAUACAUGCAAGUCGAGCGAACAGACGAGGAGCUUGCUCCUCUGACGUUAGCGGCGGACGGGUGAGUAACACGUGGAUAACCUACCUAUAAGACUGGGAUAACUUCGGGAAACCGGAGCUAAUACCGGAUAAUAUAUUGAACCGCAUGGUUCAAUAGUGAAAGACGGUUUUGCUGUCACUUAUAGAUGGAUCCGCGCCGCAUUAGCUAGUUGGUAAGGUAACGGCUUACCAAGGCAACGAUGCGUAGCCGACCUGAGAGGGUGAUCGGCCACACUGGAACUGAGACACGGUCCAGACUCCGACGGGAGGCAGCAGUAGGGAAUCUUCCGCAAUGGGCGAAAGCUUGACGGAGCAACGCCGCGUGAGUGAUGAAGGUCUUCGGAUCGUAAAACUCUGUUAUUAGGGAAGAACAAAUGUGUAAGUAACUAUGCACGUCUUGACGGUACCUAAUCAGAAAGCCACGGCUAACUACGUG
rnacentral:rRNA from 1 species